CUGAUAACCAUUGAUCCCAAACAGCCCCAGAGACAAACCAGUCUUUGUUCCCUUUUAGAGUCCUGACCUGGCUCCAGAACCACCCUCAAAGGGAUUCACUCCUUACAGAUCUGGCAGUAAAUUUCCAGGAAGAUCCAUAGGUACUGACUGAUGUUUGAAAUCCAAAGUUCACCUGCAUUGCUAAGUGUCACUGCAGAAAAUAUACUAAACUUAUGGAAACACUGCUUGGAUACAUCAGUUGGUUGAUGGAGACGCAUUUCAUCCUGUUUGGAGGAAUGUACAUGUGUAAAAUACAAAAGCAACUGCCAAGAGAAUUGUGCUAUGACUUUCCUGCUGGGCUGCAGAACUAUCCUGUCAGCCACCAGAGCAAGCUGAGCUGAGCUUCUCAUGAGUGGAUUGGUAAGAAAUCACUGUCAGUCUCACAGCUGGACUUCCACAUUCACAAGUACGUGACAUGCAAGUAAUUAAUGGCACUGGUCUGAUACCUUGAACUGCAUGCACUGCCGUGGAAGACAGCACAUUCAGUAACUGAAUGGAGAAAGCCUCUUCUUCCCUGCUACAGGGGAAAAGGAGCACUAUUUUAAAGGCUUCAAAAAAACUUGUGAAUGAU